rnacentral:rRNA from 1 species
CACGUAGGCGGACCAGUCAGUUGGGGGUGAAAUCCCGGGGCUCAACCCCGGAACUGCCUCCAAAACUGCUGGUCUGGAGGUCGAGAGAGGCGAGUGGAAUUCCGAGUGUAGAGGUGAAAUUCGUAGAUAUUCGGAGGAACACCAGUGGCGAAGGCGGCUCGCUGGCUCGAUACUGACGCUGAGGUGCGAAAGCGUGGGGAAGCAAACA